rnacentral:tRNA from 8 species
GUGACUGUAGCUCAACCUGGUUAGAGCGUCGCCCUGUGGAGGCGAAUGUUGCGGGUUCAACUCCCGUCAGUCACCCCA